UACGGAGGGUGCAAGCGUUAAUCGGAAUUACUGGGCGUAAAGCGUGCGUAGGCGGUUUGUUAAGUCCGCUGUGAAAUCUCCGAGCUCAACUUGGGAAUUGCAGUGGAUACUGGCAAGCUGGAGUAUGGUAGAGGAAGGUGGAAUUCCCGGUGUAGCAGUGAAAUGCGUAGAGAUCGGGAGGAACACCAGUGGCGAAGGCGGCCUUCUGGACCAAUACUGACGCUCAUGCACGAAAGCGUGGGGAGCAAACAGG
rnacentral:rRNA from 1 species